GAUGAACGCUGGCGGCGUGCCUAAUACAUGCAAGUCGAGCGAACGGACGAGAAGCUUGCUUCUCUGAUGUUAGCGGCGGACGGGUGAGUAACACGUGGAUAACCUACCUAUAGAACGGGAAAACCUUGGGAAAACGGAGGUAAUACCGGAAAAUUAUUUGAAACGCCAGGUUUAAAAGGUAAAGGAGGGUUUGGCGUUCACUAUAGAUGGGACCGCGCUGCAUUAGCUAGUUGGUAAGGUAACGGCUUACCAAGGCAACGAUGCAUAGCCGACCUGAGAGGGUGAUCGGCCACACUGGAACUGAGACACGGUCCAGACUCCUACGGGAGGCAGCAGUAGGGAAUCUUCCGCAAUGGGCGAAAGCCUGACGGAGCAACGCCGCGUGAGUGAUGAAGGUCUUCGGAUCGUAAAACUCUGUUAUUAGGGAAGAACAUAUGUGUAAGUAACUGUGCACAUCUUGACGGUACCUAAUCAGAAAGCCACGGCUAACUACGUG
rnacentral:rRNA from 1 species